rnacentral:lncRNA from 1 species
AGGUGGAACCAAUGAUAGCAAAUGCUGACAAAGAGAAAGCUGGACAAGCAGUUUUUUGGUGAUUAAUACCGAAGGGACGGGAUGAAAGAAGGAAGCAAGAAUGCAGUUUAGUGGACCCUUGACAGCACCAGAAGCUGCGGCAGUAGGAGGUGUUCUGGCCUGGGUAACUAAGGUAACUCUUGAUGCUGAAUGUUAGUUAUUUCGGCCUCCCGGAGGCAGCGCUGAGGACUCAGUAACCCGUUCCUACCCUGUGGAUAUUGUUCACUGUAUCUGCCUUAGUUUUGUUUUGGUCGUUUCUAUUUUGUUUUGUUAUCAUACGUGCAUCUAUAGAAAGGGAAAGAUACAAUAUUUAAUUUUUAGAUUAAUUGCCACGGCUGAAGUUGAAGAGACCAGAAAAAUGUAAGCAAGCUGAAGUAAUAAAAUCAAAAGGAACCAAGCGAGAGCUGUCUCCAUCGCCCAAAAAGGGAAAGCCCAUUCCUCCUGGCGAGGAAGGAUCACCAAUAAUAGCAAUUGGAAUAAUAGAUCACCAACAUAUAACGGAAGGUCUGUACGCAUUACAAAAAGUAUGCUACGUACAUAUAUUUCUGCGCGUGUGACUUCAUGCAUCUAUGAAGCAUCAUACUUUAAGAGCUACAAGACAGCAAACUAUUAUCCUAGGGGAAUGGUGGUCAAGUGGCCAGAGUUACUGAAGAGACAGAGACAGAGAGACAGAAGUGUCUGAAUUGUAAAACGAAGAGAUGGCUUUCAGGAAGGCUCAGUUAGCGCGACCCCAGGUUAAUUGCCUGGCAAUGGCAUUUGGGGCAGCAGGAAGGCGGCAGCUAGAAGAAAAGUUAAAGCCUUGCGGAAUUAAGACUCCUUCUCGUCAGUUCCAACUCCGAGCAAUCUUAGGAGGAUUUAAUUUCCUCCAGCAGCGUUAACCUGGCUUUGCCAGUAUCAGCGCACCGUGAUGGAAAUGACCGGAAAGGAGUCAGGAACGGAACCGGAACAAGGAACAUGAGGCUGCUUUCACUGGACUGGAAGAAGCGGCUAAGAUCUGCUGCCCUCAAAUCCCCAGGACAAGGCCGAUGGAUUUUACUAAGCCUCCAUCAACAAGCGCUGGCUGACAGAGCUGUUACGUCCCAGCGGAGACUCUUAGGCAAGACGGAGGAGUUCAGCUCCGCAGCCUGCCAGAAGAGCGUCGCCCGCGAGGGGUUGCUAGCCUGGAGUUAUAGGCGCCGAUGCACAUGGCUCGUUCUGUCAGGCGCGAAGAGGCUGACGUUCCGAGGGCCGGCAACCAGAAGUGGAGCGGCUCAGCCCGUUUGGUUGAUUUCGGUGGUACUGUUUAAAGUACAGAAGGGGUCUGGGAGGGUUUUCGAGCAAGACAGGAAAGAGCAAGGAAGACUGGAGAGUGUGGAGAAACUAGGUGCCGUGAACGUACUGAAGACCUGAGAGAAUUUGGG